GGGGGGGUGCCAGAGUGGUCGAAUGGGGCCGCCUGCUAAGCGGUUAUCCGGCUUAUACCCGGAUCGCAGGUUCGAAUCCUGUCCCUCCCG
rnacentral:tRNA from 2 species